GUCAUUGUGGCCAAGUGGUUAAGGCGAUGGACUUAAAAUCCCUUUGGGUUUCUCCGCGCAGGUUCAAAUCCUGCCGAUCAUG